rnacentral:rRNA from 1 species
UACGUAGGGGGCAAGCGUUGUCCGGAUUUAUUGGGCGUAAAGAGCGUGUAGGCGGCCAGAUAGGUCCGUUGUGAAAACUGGAGGCUUAACCUCCAGCUGUCGAUGGAAACCAUCUGGCUAGAGUCCGGAAGAGGAGAGUGGAAUUCCUGGUGUAGCGGUGAAAUGCGCAGAUAUCAGGAAGAACACCCGUGGCGAAGGCGGCUCUCUGGGACGGUACUGACGCUGAGGCGCGAAAAGCGUGGGGAGCAAACAGG